GAUGAACGCUGGCGGCGUGCCUAAUACAUGCAAGUAGAACGCUGAAGGAAGGAGCUUGCUCUUUCCGGAUGAGUUGCGAACGGGUGAGUAACGCGUAGGUAACCUGCCUGGUAGCGGGGGAUAACUAUUGGAAACGAUAGCUAAUACCGCAUAACAGUAGAUGUUGCAUGAUAUCUACUUAAAAGGUGCAAUUGCACCACUACCAGAUGGACCUGCGUUGUACUAGCUAGUUGGUGAGGUAACGGCUCACCAAGGCGACGAUACAUAGCCGACCUGAGAGGGUGAUCGGCCACACUGGGACUGAGACACGGCCCAGACUCCUACGGGAGGCAGCAGUAGGGAAUCUUCGGCAAUGGACGGAAGUCUGACCGAGCAACGCCGCGUGAGUGAAGAAGGUUUUCGGAUCAUAAAGCUCUGUUGUAAGAGAAGAACGAGUGUGAGAGUGGAAAGUUCACACUGUGACGGUAUCUUACCAGAAAGGGACGGCUAACUACGUG
rnacentral:rRNA from 1 species